rnacentral:rRNA from 1 species
AACGAACGCUGGCGGCAGGCCUAACACAUGCAAGUCGAGCGAGGACUUCGGUUCUAGCGGCGGACGGGUGAGUAACGCGUGGGAAUGUGCCCUUCUCUACGGAAUAGCCCUGGGAAACUGGGAGUAAUACCGUAUACGCCCUUUUGGGGAAAGAUUUAUCGGAGAAGGAUCAGCCCGCGUUGGAUUAGGUAGUUGGUGGGGUAAUGGCCUACCAAGCCGACGAUCCAUAGCUGGUUUGAGAGGAUGAUCAGCCACACUGGGACUGAGACACGGCCCAGACUCCUACGGGAGGCAGCAGUGGGGAAUCUUAGACAAUGGCGGCAACCCUGAUCGAGCCAUGCCGCGUGAGUGAUGAAGGCCUUAGGGUUGUAAAGCUCUUUCAGCUGGGAAGAUAAUGACGGUACCAGCAGAAGAAGCCCCGGCUAACUCCGUG